rnacentral:rRNA from 1 species
UACGUAGGUGGCGAGCGUUGUCCGGAUUUAUUGGGCGUAAAGCGCGCGCAGGCGGUGAGGUAAGUCCGUCGUGAAAUCUCCCGGCUCAACUGGGAGGGUGCGGGGGAGACUGCCUGACUGGAGGCACUCAGAGGCCGGUGGAAUUCCCGGUGGAGUGGUGAAAUGCGUAGAGAUCGGGAGGAACACCAGUGGCGAAGGCGGCCGGCUGGGGGUGACCUGACGCUGAGGCGCGAAAGCGUGGGGAGCGAACCGG